GAUGUGGCGUUGCCCAGACAACUAGGAUGUUGGCUUAGAAGCAGCCAUCAUUUAAAGAGUGCGUAAUAGCUCACUAGUCGAGUGACACUGCGCCGAAAAUGUACCGGGGCUAAACAUAUUACCGAAGCUGUGGAUUGUCCUUUGGACAAUGGUAGGAGAGCGUUCUAAGGGCGUUGAAGCAUGAUCGUAAGGACAUGUGGAGUGCUUAGAAGUGAGAAUGCCGGUGUGAGUAGCGAAAGACGGGUGAGAAUCCCGUCCACCGAUUGACUAAGGUUUCCAGAGGAAGGCUCGUCCGCUCUGGGUUAGUCGGGUCCUAAGCUGAGGCCGACAGGCGUAGGCGAUGGAUAACAGGUUGAUAUUCCUGUACCACCUAUAAUCGUUUUAAUCGAUGGGGGGACGCAGUAGGAUAGGCGAAGCGUGCGAUUGGAUUGCACGUCUAAGCAGUAAGGCUGAGUAUUAGGCAAAUCCGGUACUCGUUAAGGCUGAGCUGUGAUGGGGAGAAGACAUUGUGUCUUCGAGUCGUUGAUUUCACACUGCCGAGAAAAGCCUCUAGAUAGAAAAUAGGUGCCCGUACCGCAAACCGACACAGGUAGUCAAGAUGAGAAUUCUAAGGUGAGCGAGCGAACUCUCGUUAAGGAACUCGGCAAAAUGACCCCGUAACUUCGGGAGAAGGGGUGCUCUUUAGGGUUAACGCCCAGAAGAGCCGCAGUGAAUAGGCCCAAGCGACUGUUUAUCAAAAACACAGGUCUCUGCUAAACCGUAAGGUGAUGUAUAGGGGCUGACGCCUGCCCGGUGCUGGAAGGUUAAGAGGAGUGGUUAGCUUCUGCGAAGCUACGAAUCGAAGCCCCAGUAAACGGCGGCCGUAACUAUAACGGUCCUAAGGUAGCGAAAUUCCUUGUCGGGUAAGUUCCGACCCGCACGAAAGGCGUAACGAUUUGGGCACUGUCUCAACGAGAGACUCGGUGAAAUCAUAGUACCUGUGAAGAUGCAGGUUACCCGCGACAGGACGGAAAGACCCCGUGGAGCUUUACUGUAGCCUGAUAUUGAAAUUCGGCACAGCUUGUACAGGAUAGGUAGGAGCCUUUGAAACGUGAGCGCUAGCUUACGUGGAGGCGCUGGUGGGAUACUACCCUAGCUGUGUUGGCUUUCUAACCCGCACCACUUAUCGUGGUGGGAGACAGUGUCAAGCGGGCAGUUUGACUGGGGCGGUCGCCUCCUAAAAGGUAACGGAGGCGCUCAAAGGUUCCCUCAGAAUGGUUGGAAAUCAUUCAUAGAGUGUAAAGGCAUAAGGGAGCUUGACUGCGAGACCUACAAGUCGAGCAGGGUCGAAAGACGGACUUAGUGAUCCGGUGGUUCCGCAUGGAAGGGCCAUCGCUCAACGGAUAAAAGCUACCCCGGGGAUAACAGGCUUAUCUCCCCCAAGAGUUCACAUCGACGGGGAGGUUUGGCACCUCGAUGUCGGCUCAUCGCAUCCUGGGGCUGUAGUCGGUCCCAAGGGUUGGGCUGUUCGCCCAUUAAAGCGGUACGCGAGCUGGGUUCAGAACGUCGUGAGACAGUUCGGUCCCUAUCCGUCGUGGGCGUAGGAAAUUUGAGAGGAGCUGUCCUUAGUACGAGAGGACCGGGAUGGACAUACCUCUGGUGUACCAGUUGUCGUGCCAACGGCAUAGCUGGGUAGCUAUGUGUGGACGGGAUAAGUGCUGAAAGCAUCUAAGCAUGAAGCCCCCCUCAAGAUGAGAUUUCCCAACUUCGGUUAUAAGAUCCCUCAAAGAUGAUGAGGUUAAUAGGUUCGAGGUGGAAGCAUGGUGACAUGUGGAGCUGACGAAUACUAAUCGAUCGAAGACUUAAUCAAAA
rnacentral:rRNA from 1 species